AAGAAAUUGUACAUAUGAAGAAUGUUUUCAAGGAACCAUACCUACUAACGUGAGAUAUUACUUUAAUAUUCUAAAUAAAUUAAUUAUUUAAUUAGCUAGUAUUGAUGUGAAGAUUGAUGAAGACAAAGUACUCUUACUUUUAACCUAUUCCACAAUUUUAUAGAAGUUUAGUAAUAGUACUAGGAAUUAUACUAUUAUCAUGAGAUUCAUACAUGAAAAUGAAAGAAAAU
rnacentral:misc_RNA from 1 species